rnacentral:rRNA from 1 species
CAGUAGCCGCGGGAAUACAGAGGGUGCGAGCGUUAAUCGGAUUUACUGGGCGUAAAGCGUGCGCAGGCGGCUUUUUAAGUCGGAUGUGAAAUCCCUGAGCUUAACUUAGGAAUUGCAUUCGAUACUGGGAAGCUAGAGUAUGGGAGAGGAUGGUAGAAUUCCAGGUGUAGCGGUGAAAUGCGUAGAGAUCUGGAGGAAUACCGAUGGCGAAGGCAGCCAUCUGGCCUAAUACUGACGCUGAGGUACGAAAGCAUGGGGAGCAAACAGGAUUAGAUACCCCGGUAGUCCCUGUCUCUUAUAU